GGUUAAAGCAAUAAAUUUUCAUCUGACUGAAAUUUUUUCCUGGCAAAAAUCAAUGAAAGCAAUUUCCUAAAAUGUGGUGUCGUGGGGGCACACACUGUUUUUCCUCUAUAAAUACAAUAAACACAUUAUACAGCCAAUCAAUCAAUCAAUCAACUUUUUUCUUAUAUAGCGC